AUUGAACGCUGGCGGCAUGCCUAACACAUGCAAGUCGAACGGGAGAAGGGAGCUGGAUCCUGGGUUCAGAGGGGGACGGGUGAGUAAUGCCUAGGAAUCUUCCCGCGAGUGGGGGAUAACGUCCGGAAACGGGCGCCAGUACCACAUACGUCCAGAUGGAGCAAAUGGGGGAUCCUCGGACCUCUCGCUGUCAGAUAAGCCUAGGUCGGAUUAACUGGUUUGUGGGGGAAUGGCCUGCCCAGGCGACGAUGCGUAACUGCUCUGAGAGGGUGAUCAGACACACGAGAACAGAGACACGGCCCAGACUCCUACGGGAGGCAGCAGUCGGGACUAUUAGGCGAUGGGGGAGAGCCGGAUCCAGCCAAGCCGCGGGUGUGAAGAAGGUCUUCGGCUGGGAAAGCGCUGUAAGUUGUGAGGAAGGGAAGUAAGAUAAUAACGGACUAUAAUGACGGUACCAAAAGAAGAAGCCCCGGCUAACUACGUG
rnacentral:rRNA from 1 species